rnacentral:rRNA from 1 species
CGGACGGGUGAGUAAUGUCUGGGAAACUGCCCGAUGGCGGGGGAUAACUACUGGAAACGGUAGCUAAUACCGCAUAACGUCGCAAGACCAAAGAGGGGGACCUUCGGGCCUCUUGCCAUCGGAUGUGCCCAGAUGGGAUUAGCUAGUAGGUGGGGUAACGGCUCACCUAGGCGACGAUCCCUAGCUGGUCUGAGAGGAUGACCAGCCACACUGGAACUGAGACACGGUCCAG